UAUAGUUGCAGGUAGAGAUACGCUGUAUACCUAUGUGCCUGAAUUAGCGUUUAAGCGGUAUGUAAUGCCGUCAGACAUAGGGACCACCUAAGGGUGGUUUUUUGCUAUA
rnacentral:ncRNA from 1 species